rnacentral:rRNA from 1 species
AUUGAACGCUGGCGGCAUGCUUUACACAUGCAAGUCGAACGGCAGCGCGGGCUUCGGCCUGGCGGCGAGUGGCGAACGGGUGAGUAAUGCAUCGGAACGUGCCCAGUAGUGGGGGAUAGCCCGGCGAAAGCCGGAUUAAUACCGCAUACGACCUGAGGGUGAAAGCGGGGGACCGAAAGGCCUCGCGCUAUUGGAGCGGCCGAUGUCGGAUUAGCUAGUUGGUGGAGUAAAGGCUUACCAAGGCGACGAUCCGUAGCUGGUCUGAGAGGACGACCAGCCACACUGGGACUGAGACACGGCCCAGACUCCUACGGGAGGCAGCAGUGGGGAAUUUUGGACAAUGGGGGCAACCCUGAUCCAGCCAUGCCGCGUGCGAGAAGAAGGCCUUCGGGUUGUAAACCGCUUUUGUUCGGGAAGAAAUCCUCUGGGCUAAUACCCCGGGGGGAUGACGGUACCGGAAGAAUAAGCACCGGCUAACUACGUG